rnacentral:lncRNA from 1 species
AUGCGCAAGGAAUCCGGAACGUUAAGUGGACACGCCGGAAGUGAUACCCGCGGAAAAGGUGUGCUUUAAAGGUAUGGAUGAGUUCCCUUUCGGAUGAUGAUCAAGGCAUUAUCAAGAACCGAACACGUAUUUUGAAGCUUCCGCGUUGACUCAACUUGUUUUAGACAAUGAUUUUGAUGUAAAUGAAUUGAUAACCAUGUCUUAAUGUUUUUAAACUAGUCGGUAGCGAUUAGUAGAAGUUACUUUAAAACUUUUUUUUUUACUUAGCAUGAUCAUGUUGCUAUUUCUAAUCGAAAACAUUUUGUAAGUUG